rnacentral:rRNA from 1 species
GCCCUUUUCCGGUUGAUCCUGCCGGAGGUCAUUGCUAUUGGAGUCCGAUUUAGCCAUGCUAGUUGUACGAACUGAGAUUCGUAGCGGAUAGCUCAGUGACACGUGGCCAAACUACCCUAUGGAUCCGGAUACUCUCGGGAAACUGAGGCUAAUCCGGAAUACGAUUCCCAUGCUGGAACUGCAGGGAAUCCGAAAUGCUCCGGCGCCAUAGGAUGUGGCUGCGGCCGAUUAGGUAGACGGUGGGGUAACGGCCCACCGUGCCGAUAAUCGGUACGGGUUGUGAGAGCAAGAGCCCGGAGACGGUAUCUGAGACAAGAUACCGGGCCCUACGGGGCGCAGCAGGCGCGAAACCUUUACACUGCACGCCAGUGCGAUAAGGGGACUCCAAGUGCGAGGGCAUAUCGUCCUCGCUUUUCACUACCGUAAGGUGGUAGUAGAAUAAGGGCUGGGCAAGACCGGUGCCAGCCGCCGCGGUAAUACCGGCAGCCCAAGUGAUGACCGCUUUUAUUGGGCCUAAAGCGUCCGUAGCUGGCCGUGCAAGUCUAUCGGGAAAUCCGCGCGCUUAACGCGUGGGCGUCCGGUGGAAACUGCUCGGCUUGGGACCGGAAGACCUGCGAGGUACGUCUGGGGUAGGAGUGAAAUCCCGUAACCCUGGACGGACCACCGGUGGCGAAAGCGUC